rnacentral:rRNA from 1 species
UAGCCGUAAACGAUACUCGCUAGGUGUCGGCCACGGUGCGACCGUUGUCGGUGCCGUAGGGAAGCCGUGAAGCGAGCCACCUGGGAAGUACGGCCGCAAGGCUGAAACUUAAAGGAAUUGGCGGGGGAGCACAACAACGGGUGGAGCCUGCGGUUUAAUUGGAUUCAACGCCGGAAAUCUUACCGGGACCGACAGCAACAUGAAGGCCAAGCUGAAGACUUUGCCGGAUUAGCUGAGAGGUGGUGCAUGGCGUAGUCGUGU